rnacentral:rRNA from 1 species
UACGUAGGGGGCUAGCGUUGUCCGGAUUUAUUGGGCGUAAAGCGCGUGUAGGCGGCUUUGCAAGUCGGGUGUGAAAGCCCUCAGCUUAACUGAGGAAGUGCGCCCGAAACUGCAGAGCUUGAAUACCGGAGAGGAUGGCGGAAUUCCCCAAGUAGAGGUGAAAUUCGUAGAUAUGGGGAGGAACACCGGUGGCGAAGGCGGCCAUCUGGACGGCUAUUGACGCUGAGACGCGAAAGCGUGGGGAGCAAACAGG